rnacentral:rRNA from 1 species
AUUGAACGCUGGCGGCAGGCCUAACACAUGCAAGUCGAACGAGAGGCGGACGGGUGAGUAAUGUCUGGGAAACUGCAUGAUGUAGGGGGAUAACUAGUGGAAACGGUAGCAAAUACCGCAUACCACCAGAUGUGACCAGAUGGGAUGAGCUAGUUGGUGGGGUAAAGGCUCACGAAGGCGACGAUCCCUAGCUGGUCUGAGAGGAUGACCAGCCACACUGGAACUGAGACACGGUCCAGACUCCUACGGGAGGCAGCAGUGGGGAAUAUUGCACAAUGGGCGCAAGCCUGAUGCAGCAAUGCCGCGUGUAUGAAGAAGGCCUUCGGGUUGUAAAGUACUUUCAGCGGGGAGGCGUUACCCGCAGAAGAAGCACCGGCUAACUCCGUGCCAGCCGCCGCGGUAAUAC